rnacentral:rRNA from 1 species
UACGUAGGGGGCUAGCGUUGUCCGGAAUCAUUGGGCGUAAAGAGCGUGUAGGCGGCUUGGUAAGUCCGCUGUGAAAGUCCAGGGCUCAACCCUGGAAAGCCAGUGGAAACUGUCAAGCUAGAGUCCGGAAGAGGCGAGUGGAACUCCUGGUGUAGCGGUGAAAUGCGCAGAUAUCAGGAAGAACACCGAUGGCGAAGGCAGCUCGCUGGGACGGUACUGACGCUGAGACGCGAAAGCGUGGGGAG